AAAUAGAUUCCGCGUCGCGGACUGGUGGGAAGCUUCAGCCCUGCUCAGCCCCUCGGCCACGGCCGUUACCUUCACUGAGACUCGGCCGGGGAGUGAGCACGCCGAGCCUGGGAGGAUGCAGCACCCACUGUGGCCUGGGGGCUCCGAGGGGCUCCGGCUGCUUGUCUGCUUCCUGCUGCUGAACAGCUGCCCAGGGGGCUGCAGCGACAUUAGUGCCCACGAGGCCAAUGCAGCGGAUUCAGGAACAACUGUGAGGGGAGGCCUGGUGGCAAUGAGAGGAUGAGAGCCGUGGGGAAGGACCGCCAAGCCUUGAGGAGAUGCCUCACCCACAUUCCGCCCAGCGCCGCCGCCACGCCGACUUCCCCACCUUUCAGCCCCACGGACAGCGCCAGGCGCGCUCGGGGCCCAGGCCGAGCCCGUGCGGGUCACCACUCCGUCCCACCAGUCUGGUAACGCUGCCUCAGAGAACCAGCUCCCCUUCCCGAAACUCUUUUCCUUCUCCUCAGGGUGUUGGGGGUUCCACUCCUUCCUUAAGGAGGCUUUCUCAUCCCCAAAUGUCUCUACUUAAAACUUUCUUGUCACGCUCACCCCCCAGGAAAUUAUUAGACAUCCACUUGAUUGGGUAGGAAAAUUCCCUUUUUUAAAGACCUGUCCAGAAUGACUCAUGGUAACUACACUAUAGCAAAAAACAGACUGUCCUCCAGCCCCAUCUCACUUAUCUGGAAGAAGGAAGGUGUGCAUAGCAUUAGGGGUUCUCUUCCCCAACCCCUGUCCUUCCCCCAUGCACAACUGGGCAAACUGUGGGUUUCAGGAAAAGGAUGCAGACCCUCAAACCCUAAACAAAUCAAUACUUUUUCUUUCUAAUGAUUCCAGGCCUUCUCCCUAACACUUCCAGGCUUCAAUGAUUUCCCUAAGAUGAAGCUCACCUGUUUCCCCAAACCCCACCUACCCACCUGAUUACCUUUCCCGUGUGCUUAGCUUUCUGAGCCUCUGCUCACCUGAACUUCUACCUUUGCCUGUAAGUUUGGUUCUAAUCUGUAAGUUGGUGCCAAGAGUGAACAAGGCCCAGGGGCUGAAGAAUAUGGCAAGUGGUGAUGGAGGAAGGGAAAAAUUAAAGAAGGAAGACUUGAAGCAGGCAAAGGUGCUGGUAGGGGGAACAGAGGUCAGGGGUCCAGGAGCAACAGUACAAGGAACCUGCUUCUCUUCAACUGAGAUGUGGAAGGCUUCUGGCCAGAUUCCUUGCUGACACCACUAUUUUGCCCUUAGAUGGUCAGGACCAAGUAGGAGUAGAGCAGCUUUGGCCCCUCCAAGGAUUUGCCACCCCAGUCUUCCAGCAUUUACAGGUUGUGUUCCAGCAGAUUUUGCCCCAAGGUCUGUUCUGGAAGGAUGAUAUCACCCAGGAUGCCAUGAUCCAAAAGAUGGAGCACACCAGCAGACUGCAUCCCCAAGAUCCAUGCCUGAAGGAUGGCAAGGCAGUUUUCCCCACUAAAACCGCUGGGGUGAGGUGCGUGAGACCUGUGGUCAUUCCAACCAUUCUGGUAGACAGACGGAACAGGGAAGGAAUGUGUGCUAAAGCUGCGGGUAGAAGUUUCCAGGAGCACUGUGAGGAGAAUAAUUCAGAGGUCCUGUUUGGAAUCAGCAGAGAACAAUUUCAUGAUCCAUUAGUGAUAUCUGCAAAGGGAGGGGAGGUAGGUGUGGCAAGCCUAGGUCCAGUGUGUCAUUCCCUGUCUCUUCUAGAAGCAAGCAAGAGGAGAAACUUUGACUCCUAUUCCCCACAGUGAGUCUCAUGUAUCUUCUCAAGAAUUGUGAAUCCCUGACUUUGUAUCCAAUUGCUUUUCCUGUGGGGCCCUCUCACCCUUUUCUGCCUCCUUCUCAACUCCUGGUUUCCCUCCUCACAGAGCCCCCUGGCCAAGGUGAACAGGGAUCAGUGCUUUACCUCCAAAGUGGUUUCUAAGGUCCUGAAACAAGAGGUGGCCAACCCUGUCAAGGACUUCUCUGGACCAUUUCCUACUGUGGGCCACAACCUUGUGGCUGAUUGAGACCUCAUGUGGAGCCUCCCUGCCCCAGCACCCUUCCCAUUGACCUUCAGAGGGGCAGUUCUUGGAUGACCCAGAUCUGAAUCAUUAAAGUAGACUCUCAAGCAAA